rnacentral:rRNA from 1 species
GACAGAGGGUGCUAGCGUUGUUCGGAAUGACUGGGCGUAAAGGGCGCGUAGGCGGCCGCUUGCGUCGGAUGUGAAAGCCCGGGGCUCAACCCCGGAACGGCAUCCGAUACGGGGCGGCUCGAGACCGAGAGAGGUGAGUGGAAUACCCAGUGUAGAGGUGAAAUUCGUAGAUAUUGGGUGGAACACCGGUGGCGAAAGCGGCUCACUGGCUCGGUUCUGACGCUGAGGCGCGAAAGCGUGGGGAGCAAACAGG